rnacentral:rRNA from 1 species
UACGUAUGGUCCUAGCGUUGUCCGGAAUAACUGGGCGUAAAGGGUGUGUAGGCGGAUAUCCGUGUCAGGUGUGAAAUCCCUCGGCUUAACUGGGGCAUUGCGCUUGAAACUGGAUAUCUGGAGCGUGUCAGGGGUAAGCGGAAUUCCCGGAGUAGCGGUGAAAUGCGUAGAUAUCGGGAAGAACACCGGUGGCGAAGGCGGCUUACUGGGACAUGGCUGACGCUGAGGCACGAAAGCGUGGGGAGCGAACGGG